AGUGAACGCUGGCGGUAGGCCUAACACAUGCAAGUCGAACGGCAGCACAGUAAGAGCUUGCUCUUACGGGUGGCGAGUGGCGGACGGGUGAGGAAUACAUCGGAAUCUACUUUUUCGUGGGGGAUAACGUAGGGAAACUUACGCUAAUACCGCAUACGACCUACAGGUGAAAGCAGGGGAUCUUCGGACCUUGCGCGAUUGAAUGAGCCGAUGUCGGAUUAGCUAGUUGGCGGGGUAAAGGCCCACCAAGGCGACGAUCCGUAGCUGGUCUGAGAGGAUGAUCAGCCACACUGGAACUGAGACACGGUCCAGACUCCUACGGGAGGCAGCAGUGGGAAAUAUUGGACAAUGGGCGCAAGCCUGAUCCAGCCAUACCGCGUGGGUGAAGAGGGCCUUCGGGUUGUAAAGCCCUUUUGUUGGGAAAGAAAAGCAGCAGGUUAAUACCCCGCUGUUCUGACGGUACCCAAAGAAUAAGCACCGGCUAACUUCGUG
rnacentral:rRNA from 1 species